rnacentral:SRP_RNA from 1 species
GCCAGGUGUGGUGGUGCAUACCUGUAGUCCUAGCUACUCGGGAGGCUGAGGCAGGAGAAUCGCUUGAAUCCGGGAGGCAGGGGUUGCAGUGAGCCGAUAUCACACCACUGCACUCCAGCCUGGGUGACAGAGUGAGACUCAGUCUCAA